rnacentral:lncRNA from 1 species
AUAUGCAUUUACUUAUUCAUUAACCAACUAUACACAACAAUACGUUUUAUAACACCAAGUUACUGAUGCGUUUUCGUAUUAUCAAUGUACAAUCAAUUAACAAAUAAUAAACCAUAUAUCUAGGUUUUAAGACUAUAUGAUAUUAUCGUCUUGCGAUCACCUUUUAUAUCGUAUUCCAUAAGGUGGUUCCAGCAAGCGCGGGUUUAUUCCAAUGCUCAAAACUAGUUCAUAAGCACUCAUGAAUGUUGCAGCAAUCCUUUGCUAUGUCUAAUACCUUUUAGACAAUCUACAUACUAGUUCAUGACAAUCUUCAUUCAUACCUACUUACAACAUAUGAACGAUUGUUGACCAUUCGAAUAACUCGAUUAUUCUUAAUAACUCAAUUAUUCAGGAAGUCAAAACAUGCAAAGUGAAACAAUAGUUAAUCAAUUAACAUAAGAAAGUAACAUUACUCAUAAAUAAAACUCCUUUAUUUAAUCAUCAAAUGUCAAUUACAUUUAUCUAUUACAUGUUUCAAAACUAUCUAAUCUAAACUAAUAUCGUCUUUUAGCCCAAUGCUCCUAGCGUGCUGCAAAUGCUUAACCCUACUCAGUCCCUUCGUAAGCGGAUCUACUGGGUUAUCCUCUGACGAUACCCUCUUUACUACGAGGUGUCCUUCUUCUACUCGAUGUCUAAUAAAGUGAUAUUUUCUGUCGAUAUGCCGAGAUCUACCAUGAUCCCUCGGUUCCUUGGUCAAGGCAACCGCUCCUUCAUUAUCACAAAAAAUUUCCAUAGGCUCCUUUAUGGUAGGCACAACUCCAAGGUCACCAAUGAAGUUCUUCAACCACAUCGCCUCCUUUGACGCUUCGCUCGCUAUAAUGUACUCUGAUUCGCACGUUGAAUAAGAUAUUGUCUCUUGCUUGGAACUUUUCCAAGUCACUCUCCUCCAUUAAGGUUAUAGACCCAACCCGACUGUGAACGAUAGUUGUCCCUUUCGGUCUGGAAGCUUGCGUCAGUAUGCCCUCGCACCUUUAAGUCAUCACUCCCUCCGAGGACUAAAAAACAUUCCUUGGUCUUCCGAAGGUACUUAAGUAUAUUCUUGACCGCAAUCCAAUGAGCUCUGCCAGGGUUCCCUUGAUAUCUACUGACCAUGCUCAAAGCAAAGGCCACGUCAGGGCGAGUACAAGUCAUAGCGUACAUGAUUGAGCCAACGGCGGAAGCAUAGGGUACUCGGCUCAUCUCAGCUAUCUCGGCUUCUGUACUCGGACUUUGAGUCUUACUCAAUUUGGCAUUACUCUGUACCGGUAGUUCUCCCUUCUUCGAGUUUUCCAUACUAAAACGUUUUAGUACCUUAUCCAAGUAAGUAUUCUGACUAAGUCCUAUUAGUCUCUUACUUCGUUCUCUCACUAUCCUUAUUCCCAAAAUAUAGGAAGCCUCUCCGAGGUCCUUCAUAGCGAAGCACUUCCCGAGCUAGGACUUAACCUCCUGCAUAGUUGGGAUGUCGUUUCCUAUGAGUAAUAUGUCAUCGACAUAUANNNNNNNNNNNNNNNNNNNNNNNNNNNNNNNNNNNNNNNNNNNNNNNNNNNNNNNNNNNNNNNNNNNNNNNNNNNNNNNNNNNNNNNNNNNNNNNNNNNNNNNNNNNNNNNNNNNNNNNNNNNNNNNNNNNNNNNNNNNNNNNNNNNNNNNNNNNNNNNNNNNNNNNNNNNNNNNNNNNNNNNNNNNNNNNNNNNNNCCCAUUAAGGAAAGCGGUCUUGACAUCCAUCUGCCAUAUCUCAUAAUCAUGAAAUGCAGCAAUGGCUAGCAUCAUCCUAAUAGACUUUAUCUUAGCAACUAGUGAGAAGGUCUCAUCAUAGUCAACUCCGGGAGUUUGAGUAAAGCCCUUCGCCACCAAUCGUGCCAUAUACAUGUGCACAUUCCCAUCCACAUCGGUCUUCUUCUUCAAGAUCCAUUUGCACCCAACCGUCUUAUGUCCGGGCACAUUGUCAACCAAAUUCCAAACUUGGUUGUCAUACAUGGACUGAAUCUCGUUGUCCAUCGCCUCUUUCCAUUUUGCAGACUCUGGGCCUGCCAUGGCUUCCUUAUAGCUAUUAGGUUCAUCNNNNNNNNNNNNNNNNNNNNNNNNNNNNNNNNNNNNNNNNNNNNNNNNNNNNNNNNNNNNNNNNNNNNNNNNNNNNNNNNNNNNNNNNNNNNNNNNNNNNNNNNNNNNNNNNNNNNNNNNNNNNNNNNNNNNNNNNNNNNNNNNNNNNNNNNNNNNNNNNNNNNNNNNNNNNNNNNNNNNNNNNNNNNNNNNNNNNNNNNNNNNNNNNNNNNNNNNNNNNNNNNNNNNNNNNNNNNNNNNNNNNNNNNNNNNNNNNNNNNNNNNNNNNNNNNNNNNNNNNNNNNNNNNNNNNNNNNNNNNNNNNNNNNNNNNNNNNNNNNNNNNGAGUUUCCUCCUCGGGUUGAGCGCCAGCGUUAGAGGUUCCUUCAUUGCUCGACUCUUGAAUCUCUUCAAGAUUGAUUUGCCUCCCACUAUCCCCUUGGCUUAUGAGUUGUCGCUCUCGGAAAACUCCUCUCCUUGCAACGAAGACAACAUUGUCACUUGGUCUAUAGAAGAGAUAUCCAAAGGAUUUCUGUGGGUAGCCGAUGAAAAUACAUUGCUCACUACGAGGUUCGAGCUUGUUGUGAGUUUCUCGUCUUAGGAAAACUUCACAGCCCCAAACCUUGAUAUGUGCCAACGAGGGAGCUUUCCCUAUCCAUAUUUCGUGAGGUGUUUUGGCAACCUUCUUUGUAAGGACUCCGUUAAGGAUAUGGGCAGCAGUCUUUAAGGCAUACCCCCAGAAUGAGAUAGGUAGUGAAGCACAACUCAUCAUAGAACGAACCAUGUCUAAAAGGGUUCGAUUACGCCUUUCUGCCACACCAUUCAACUGCGGUGUCCUAGGUGGCGUCAAUUGCGAAACUAUUCCACAUUCCUUGAGAUAGUCGUGGAAUUCAAGACUUAGGUACUCUCCUCCUCGAUCGGAUCGAAGCAUCUUGAUUUUCCUGCCCAAUUGAUUCUCCACUUCAUGUUUGAACUCUUUGAACUUUUCAAACGUUUCUAACUUGUGCUUGAUUAAGUAAAUAUACCCAUAUCUACUAUAAUCGUCGGUGAAAGUCACGUAGAAGUGGUUCCCAUCCUUUGUGGUGCAUCUAAAGGGCCCACACACGUCGGUGUGUAUGAGAUCCAAUAAACCCUCACCCUUCUCACAAGUGCUAGUGAAGGGUGACUUGGUCAUCUUUCCAAGUAAACAAGAUUCGCACGUGUCAUCGUCCCUAAGGUCGAAUGACUCCAACACUCCAUCCUUUUGGAGUUGGGCUAUGCGCUUCUUGUUGACAUGUCCAAGAUGACAACGCCACAAGCAUGCUUUAUCCAUACUAUUUGAAGAAUCCAUACAUAACACAUCAUUUUCUAGGUUAUCUAUAACCAUAACAGUUUCAUAAAUUCUAUUACAAGGCAUUGCUUCAAAAUAUAAAACACCAUUUAGAUAAGCAUAAAUCGAACCAUUCUCAUUAUUAAACGAAUAUCUAAAUCUUUGUCUAAAUAAACCAUGAAAAGAAAUGAUGUUUCUUGCCAUAUCUGGCGAGUAACAACAAUUAUUUAAAUCUAAAUUCAAUCCAUUACUAAGCACUAAAGAAUACACUCCAAUCUUGGUAACAGGCGACGAUCUUCUGUUCCCCAUGAUUAGAUUUAUUCUUCCAAGCUCCACAUCCCUAUUUCUUCCUAGUCCCUGCAAAUCAGAACAAAUGUGGUAACCACACCCUGUAUCAAGAACCCAAGAAAUAGCAUGAGAUGAAUCAUUAGAUUUAAUUGUGUAAAUACCUGCGAAAGAUGGCUUGAUCUUCCCAUCCUUGAUGGCUUGCAGAUAUUCCGGGCAGCUUCUCUUCCAAUGCCCUAUUUUGUGGCAAUGGUGGCACUCUACCUCCUUUGGGUUUGGGUUGGGCUUAGCAGGAUCAACCUUGGUCCCACUAGAAGAGGAACCAUCUUGGGACUUUCCCUUGCGGUGGUUCUUCGAAGAAGCCUUCCUCUUCUUGCCCCUUCCCUGCCCAAUAGCCAAAACAGGAGCAACGGGUGGAUUGGGAGUUAGUGCAACAGAGUUGUCCUUGAGGUUGCUCUCAGCAGUCCUUAGGAUCCCUUGGAGUUUUCAUAGGGUGACCUAUUCCUUGUUCAUGUGGUAGGUCAUCCUAAAUUGAUUGUAGCAUGAGGGCAAGGAGUGAAGAACAAUUUCAAUAGCCAAAUCUUCCCCAAAGUUGACAUUGAACUUGCGAAGAUGAUCGACAUACCUUUGCAUCUUUUGCAGGUGCACGGUUAGAGAUUCUCCACUUCCCAUUUUAGCACUGAUCAUAUUUGUUAUGAUCUCAUUGUGCUCUUGCCUCGUGCUUUGGUGGUAUCUCUCCAUCAAGUCUAGAUACAUCUCAUAAGGAUACAUGUCCUCAUAGGAAUUUUUGGAAUUCGGAGUUCAUCGUGGCUAUCAUCAUGCAAUGAACUUUCGUUACAUCACGCUCAUAGGUCUCAAAGACAACCAUUUCUUCGGGAGUAGCAAUUUAUGGAUUGAUCUUCUCGAGCUUCUCAUCGAGAACAUACUCUUUGUCCUCGUAACGCGCGAUCGUGCAAAUGUAUCUUAUCGAUUCACUGAAGUUCGAUUCGUCAAAAGCAACUUUUUGACAAAGGCUCAUUAGCGUGAAUGAGCUAGCAGCAGCGUUGUUCGCGUUAGACAUCUACAAAUAGAAAGGAAACAAAGUUUAAUUAGAGUUAAGUCCCUAAUUAACACCCAAAAUAAAAAUUAGGGCUAGGACCCAACAACAUUACUUACACAUUAGAAAAGGGAUGCCGUAAUCCAACAUGGAAAUAAUUUGGAGGUAAGUGAAUGACGAUUCACUAAUUCUUCACCAUGAAAAACAUAAGCUUAAGUUUUAAAUGUAUUGAUAAUUCCUAGAUUUCUUUGAGAUUCAUUGAACUUUUCAAUGGCAUGUUUAAAUCUCGAUAUGCCCCUCUAGUUUGUGACUGGGAUGUCGAGGAUCACAAAGCAGGUGUGAAUAACCAUGCAAAUCUACAUGGUGCCUUCAUUGUUACACUCACCUAUUCGAUGUGCCGGUAAACCACACACGCUCCAUCGAACUAUGAAAAACAAUGAAUCACCCUUUGCCACCUUUGCUUAGAACCAAUUAGUGUGCCGGUUAAGCACACACGCUCCACUAACUUCUUAGCAAGGGUGCAAAGUAUAAUUUCAUGGGAUUGCAUCAAUUCACUUUUCCUAAAGUAACUACGAUCGGGAUUUUAUGAAACACUUUUAGUUACUUUAUAUAGAUUCAUUAUACUUAUUAAUGAGAAGAGGUUUGCCCUAUCCUACGCGUUCAGCUAACGACCCUCCACCAGUCAAGCAAGCGGUGGUGUGAGUGUACACCCAUUAAGCGCCAUUUUAUAGGCAGCAACCUUAUACCCACCUUAUAGACCGGCUUCAUGAAUGAGGCCUACUAGCGGUAAGACUAGCAUUUUAAAUUAUACAUAUACAUAUAUAUAUAUAUNNNNNNNNNNNNNNNNNNNNNNNNNNNNNNNNNNNNNNNNNNNNNNNNNNNNNNNNNNNNNNNNNNNNNNNNNNNNNNNNNNNAUAUAUAUAUAUAUAUAUUAAGCUUGUAAUAAUAUAAUAGUAUAAGGUUGAAUUUUAGGCUUGUAAAAUUCUAGGGUUUUAAAUUUAAAUUAUUCAAAUUAAACUUUUAAUUACAAAACUUAAAUUUCAAAACUUCAGGACAAGUUUUAAACCUUUUUCAAAACAUAAGGAUCAAAUAGCAAAUAAUAUAAAUCAACUAAUUAGAUUAUCUCAAUUUGAUCUUAUUCAAUAUUACUUGCAAGACAUUUCACCAAUUCAAUUCAAAUAAUCAAUUGUUAUCAUAUAAGGAAAUUAUUAUUCAACUAAUUGGUAAUUAUCUUUUGUUUGGUCAAGAAUAUACUCAUAUAUAUGAUUAAAAUCGGAUUUUAAUGCCCCAAAACAGUUAAGGCAAGUAUCCUCAAGUAAAAGGUGCAAGAAAUCCCGAAACUACCUCCAACUGAAGCUCGAACUCGCCGAGUUCUACUAUGUACUCGCAGAGUUCAUCAGACAGAAUCACAAAAAUUGAUUUUUUUCAAGCAACAAGCAAUCAACCAAUGCAUCAAUUCAAUAGAAAUCAAUCAAAGCUCUGAUACCACUGAUGGGUUUGAGCCAUAAGAACUUUCCUAUGUGCACAUGCAAAUGCUAAUGCUUGGAUCUAGGUUUCUCUAAUUGAUCAUGCAAUGUAUCUAAGGCUUACAAUUCUAGAUCUACUGUAAACAAUUGAAUCAUAUCAUAUACAAACAGAUCUAGAAGAAUACCCUAAGUUGCUUGCUUGAAACUUCUUGUUCUUGGAGCUUAGAAUUACAAUUGUCACUCCUCUAAUGGCUUACAAACACCAACUAGCAAGAGGAUGAUCUUGAGAGAGAGAGGAGGGUAAGAAAUUGGCUCUAUGGUUUCUUGCCUUGCAUGAAUGUCGAUUUCCCUCACCCAAGGGAUCUAUUUAUACUAUGAGCUGUUAGGGUUUCACCCUUAACCCUAAUUGAAUAACUUAGGCCCUAAGCAAUCCAAAGAUCCUCCUAGAUAUUAGGCUUGGACGAUUUUAAGGUCUCCUAACCCUAAAAUGUGUCCACCAUAAUAUCAAUAAGGAUACAUAGCCCAAAACACAACUAUCACACAUUUGACAGUUUAUGCCCCUUUAUUCAAUUAAUCUCUUUAAGUCACCAAAUUAAUUCUUAAUUAAUAUAUUACUUAUAUCAAUCAAAUAAUAUUAUUAUUCCUUUAAUAUAUUAUUCUCAUAAUAUAUUAACAAUAAUAUCUCUUCUCUCUUUACAAAUCAUCCUGUCAAGUUGCUAUGGUGAAGGCAACCCAAAAGGACCAUGCACAACCGUGUCAAGUACUUACCAAAUAUACUUACAACCUUAGACACUAAUCCAACACUAUUAUCAUCCCAACCAUCAAAGCCCAAUAGAGAGGCCCAACUCAAAGUCCAAGUGAAAUUAGGGUUUCACAUAAAAUGACAAUUAGGGUUAACUGUUUCUCACUUAACCCAUCAAGGACUUAAUCCAUCGAGUCCGUUACUCUACUAGAUAAUUGAUAUGGAAUAAUUUGGGUUUAAUAAACAAUCCAAUCCCAAUGGCCCAAAGGUGGGUCCCAUUAAGUCUAAGGCUUAAAUACUCACAAUUGGGGCAUUUCUACUCAAACAUGGCCCAAUAGGCCCAAAAUUAAUCUUUAAGCCCAUUAGGGUUUUGCUAGGUCCAUUAGGGUUUUGCUAGUAGGGCACCACCCACUACCACCUCGGGUAGUGGUGGUCAAUGGCGAUUCGCGGCGGUGGCCACCACCAUAUAAUGAUGGUUAUUAUUUUUCUUCACUAUACAAUGUUAAUUAAAGUUACAAGGCUUUUAUCCAAAAUAACACACACACUCACUAACCCACACACACAUAGCCACACCGUGGUGGCCGGCAGUGGCGCUUGGUUGCAGCCACCACCUCACGGUCGUGGUGGUGGUUGUUCUCAAUUUUCCGGCUACACAAAACACUCUAACAAAAAAUAAUAUAUCCAUACACACACAAUAAACACGCACUACAGCCUUUGCCUGGAAUAGAAGCACAGCCACCCACUUUGUGGCGUUGGCUACAAUAACAGUAAGAGAAAAGUGUGUAACAGCAGCGGUUAUCAGCGACAACCACCAUGGCCGGUCGCCAUGGUGGUUCUUCAUGAUCUAUAUUCGGCAGAGAACCCAUCCUUCAUACGCUUGCACAUAACAUACCACGAAUAAUGGCCACUUCCACCCUCAUGGUGGCCUACCAAAGACGACAACAACCUCCAAACAAUCAACCGGCAGCAGAGGCGAUGGCUAGCUGUUGUGUGACGAGUAUCAAAGUGAGUGGUGACAGGAAAAGAUUAGAAGAAUGAAGAACGAUGGAGAGGUGGCAGCGGCGCCACAACAUCGUCGGGGAGUCCUCGUCGUCAACAGCAAGGCUUCAUGGUGGUUGUGACUCAACAGUAGAGAUGCCGGAGAUCAGAGGAAAGAGGGGGGUUUUGCUUCCUCUAACCACGACACUAGUAGCGGUAGCCGAGCUUGUCGUCGGCGGUGGCAAUGGAGGCGGCGACUGGAAUGGGGAGGUAUAAGGGUGGCAGCUGGACGAUGGCAGUUAGGGUUAAGGUUAUGAAUGAGUUGACGGAAUAUAUACCCGAUCCAUAUCACAACUUUCCCAUAAUUACAGUUAUGGUCCCUCCCCAUGGGAUCUUUUCAAAUUCAAUCCAAUAUUUACCCUUUUGCCCUUGAUUCCAUAAUUCGCUUUCCUAAUAAGUCCUAAUAAUUACCAACUAUAUCCCCACUUCUAAGAUUCUUCUCAAUCAACUCCGUAAUUUACUAAACAGCCCUCAACUGUCAAAAUUGUUCACAAUUCAGUCGGGGAAUUACAUUUAUUAAUUAGUUUAUUUGUUUACUAAAUAAAUAAACUGGGUAUUACACACAUCUACUUCCCAAAUGGUGCAUCUACUUCUUAAUGUGCACACCCACUCCAAACCGGCAAAUCAUUGCAUCAUGGAGCACAAAUGAUGCUCCAUUCCAUUCAAAGGUGCUUCACUACCUUCUUAGGUGCUCCAUUAUUUUCGUAGAUGAUCCAUUCGUUUCUAGAUGUUCAAUUCGUUUCUUAGAUGCUAAAAAGUCUUUAUGUCAAAGAGUCAUUAGAAAAUGAUAUUUGCUAAUGAUAUAUGAUCAUAUGGGGUCAUACCUUAUAGCAUGUUACCACUAAUUGAUUAUUUAUUUUCUAAUUUGAUUAUUUGGGGAAGGAAGGGUUAGAAGGGGAAUGAAGAGUGUAUUAAAAGAGAUAAAUAUGGAGGAUGGUGUCCGUCGGUCCAGUGUUUCCGACGACAGCCCGACGGUGUUGGGAUGAGGUCUGAUGGUCGUGUGUUCUCUCCAGGUUUUAGUUAAAUGAGUUAGAAAAUGAGGGAUAAGGUUUAGAAGAGGUGAAGUGAAGUGGAAGUGGGGCUUACAUCUUUUAUUAAAAAUUUUGUUAUUUGUUAAUAUUAAAUAAAGCCUAAAUAAAUGAAAAAAAUAAGGAUAAUAUAGUCUAUUUAUAUGUGUAGGGAUUAUAAUCACAAAAAAAAAAUAAUAAUAAAUAAACAAAAAAAGAUAGCAUAGGGCUGUCCUUAGUGCAAAAAAUAAACAAUAAGGAUCAACCGCAUAAAUUUGACCAAACCACGUAGACAAUUUCAGUAAUUUGCUAUUUAAAAUAUUAAUUCACGUGUUAAGGUUUUUAUAUAGAAUAAUAUUCUUAGAAAUAUAUAUUGUCUGGAAUCAAAGAAAUUAUUGGAGUAAUGGUGGGAGCAUGACAGGUUUGAUGGUUUGAAUGAAAGACUCCCUUCGUGCGUAUUGUCUUUAUUUAUCUUUAACCAGGAAACCGCGCUAUGUCCCAACACAUUCAUCAUGUUAUUUGGCCAUUAAUGUUCAUGUUAUACAAUAAUGUAAAGAUUCUUUACUUGACUACAUAUUCGAAUCUCAAAAAAAUGUAAACAACUAAACAUCCUGCUGCAAGGAAAGUUUAUAAAUAAUAUUUUGGUAUAAAUGUAUAAAGAAAUUAAUCGAUGAUUAUUGAAAAUAUUUCCAUUUUAAAGUGUGAAUAUUAAAAACUUCAAGGCUAAUAUACUUUCUUCACAUUCAGAGAGUAGUGCUUCAACUAAUUUGUUGAUACUUCCAAAAUGUUCAAAUUUAGCUGAUUUAUCAAUAUUUUGAAGUACGGUGAUUUUAAAACAAAUUGCGAUAAUACAUUGGUUUAUACAAGUCUAGAGUUUUGAAAAUUAUAUAAACUUGAAUAAUUGAUUGUAGUGAUUGCAUACUCAUCAAGACCAUAAUUUUCCAAGAUAAAGGUUUGAGGUUGACGGUUAGCAUUAUAAUUGAUUUUUAAUAUCAAAUAAUACAAAUACCAAAAGGCUUCUAACCCAUUGGUAUUAGGUCUAGCAUUUCUUUUUUGAUGUUAUAGUUCGAGUCAAUAAAUAUAACAUUAACAAAAAAAGAGUUAUUUAGAAGUAAAUUAGGUUUUUAUUUUUUUUAAGGAAGAAAAAAACUAAUACAAAUCAAGUUUGAAAAUACUUUAGAAACAUGGUCCAUUAAAUCAAUUAGUUUCUCAUCAUCAGCUUAGCUUGAUUGAGGAAAGAUUAAUGACGAACUAUAACGUCCAAAACAUACAAUAAAUAUAAUAUUAACCAAUAGUGAUCAUUGUAAAAAAAAUGACUAAAUUUGUUGAUUGUAAGGGUGAAUUGAGUUGAAUAAUGAAUAUUCUGUUGUCGACCAAGCUUUAUAAACAAAUAUGGAUGAUAAAAUUUUAAUUUUGAUCUUUUAAACCAAUUAGAAUUACUUAAAAAUUAACCUCGAUUGAUUCGGAAAACGUUAAUCUCCAAAACAUACAAUAAACAUUAUCUUGCUCAUGUAAACUUUUUUUUUGAAGGCUUGAUUUUGAUUUUCUCCGUUACAACAACAUUUUAAUUGUCAUCGUACAACGAGUGAGAUGACAAACGGGCAACAAGCUAUGCGGUUAAGCCUUUUUAAAUGGUAAAAGUAAUUAUUUUAAAAACUACAUCCGAAGAUCUAGGGAAUAUACAUGACUAUGCAUGAUUCAUUGUAUUCUUUUAAGAAACUCUACCGCAUCUUGUGCGAGGAAACCAAACGUAUCAAAUACAAAUGGAAUGAACACGUAUUGAUUUUCCAAGCACGAUUUCUCAUGUUUGGUGACUUUGUCUAUAGCUUCUUGUAAAGCAGUAUGUCCCGCCGUGAAAUCCCCAGCCCUCAGGCCCACGAGAGGUGAUACCCCUGUAAGAUCCACACAUGCGUGUUUCCUACAACCCAUCCAAAAGUCAAAAUGACAGCCGGUAUGAGGGUUCAUAUUAAUUCUAUCGGGUCAGUCAUGUAAACCAACAUAAAUAAAUUUUGUCAUCCAAAAAAUUAUAGCUUGUGGAAAAGUCACCUGAAUUGUUGGAUGUGUCAUGUGUGCGUGAAAUGAGUUGAUUCCUUAAUAUUUUGUUAUUGAGCCAGAUUUACAAAACCAAAAACAAUAUUAAUCGCAGAAUCUUUUCUUGUUCCCCAAACAAUAUUUAUAUGGAUGGAAAAAAUAAAAUAAAAGAGACAACAAGGAAGGAGCAGAGGACCCUACAAGAUACUAUCGGAGGCUUCACUGUUUCUCAAAGCUCAGCUUCAACCGCGUCAUUGCACACAUCCCAACUUGGACUAUAAUUUCCCCAUCUUGCAUCGAUGUCUUUAUUAUAAAUAACAAAUCCCUUCGAUAACCCUUUCAUUCCAUUUCACCAUACUCUCUCUCUCUCUCUCUCUCUCUCUCUCUCUCUCUCUCUCUCUCUCUAAAAUGGGUGCUUGUCUAUCUUCCGCUGGUGACUCCGUGCACAACUCUAGUUCUGCGCUUGUUAUUUCCGUCGAUGGCGAUCUGUGUUCCUACCCAACUCCAAUCUUUGUAUCCGAAGUUCUUCGGUUCGAAAAAUCAUCGACCUUCUUUCUUUGCAACUCCGACGACUUGUAUUACGACCAGUAUAUCAAUGCUUUGGAUUUAGAAGACCAGCUUGAUGCGGCUCAGAUCUACUUUAUUCUACCAAAAACAAUGCUUGGUCGUCGUCUAAGUGCCUCCGAUAUGGCUGCGUUGGCAGUCAAAGCCAGCCUUGCGCUUGAUUCGAAUUCCAAUACAGAUUCGCAUAAGAGGAACAACAACAAGGCUCGUAUAUCGCCAUUGGUGUUGAUGGAAACGACUGGGGCUAAUGAGAACAAGAAUGUUGGAAGUUUAAGAAUGUCGAGCUCCAGAUCAAUCAGGAAGCUGUCAAAACGUUCUUCAAAGAAAGCUCGAUUGGGUGUUGGAUCUUUCAGGCUUGUGCUCUCCACCAUAUACGAAAACGAUGGGUGUGAUGAGUUGCAGAUGAUUUGAUUCGUUAAUUUUGGCGUGUACAGAUCGAUAGUAGCGAAUUUUUGGUUCACCGGGAGUCCGGGAGUUGCUUCAUAGUCUAAAAUCCACAAUUCUAAAAUACAAUGUAUAGUGUUGUUUAAAAACGAAACACAAUGGUGUUUUUGGAAGAGUAAGGCAUGACAAGAUUUUAAAGACUUUACAAGAAAUUAAUGAUACUGGUCCCAUGUCGGGAAAUUUGUAUUAGAUUGAAUUUAUAUAAUGAUACUCGUUCCAUGUUGGGUUAGAUAGUUAUUAGCAACAACUAGGGCCGUAAACGAACACGAACGUAGGUUUGUUGAUGUUCGUUCGUUUAAGUUAGUUGAAUAAAUGAACAAUCACGAACAGAUAAACGAACGUGUUUUCUUGUUCAUUUAUAAACGAACGUGUUUUCUUGUUUAUGUUCGUUCGUUUAACAAAUUAAACUGUUAAUGGUCGUUUAUUUAUGUUCGUGAACAUGUUAAAAGAACGGAAACAAACGAACACAAAUGAACAAUAUAAACAAACAUAAUAGAACAUAUAUUAACAUAAGUGAAGUCUCCUUGGCUUAUUAGUUCUCGCUUUCGGAAAACCCCUCUCCUCGCAACGAAGACAACAUUGUCACUCGGCCUAUAAAAGAGACAUCCAAAGGAUUUCUGCGGGAAGCCGAUGAAAAUACACCGCUCACUAUGAGGUUCGAGCUUGUCGUGAGUUUCUCGUCUUACGAAAACUUCACAGCCCCAAACUUUGAUAUGUGCCAAUGAGGGAGCUUUCCCUGUCCACAUCUCGUGAGGUGUUUUGACAACCUUCUUUGUAGGGACUCGGUUAAGGAUAUGGGAGGCAGUCUCUAACGCACACCCCCAGAAUAUAGGUAGUGAAGCACGACUCAUCAUAGAACGGACCAUGUCUAACAUGGUUCGAUUACGCCUUUCUGCCACACCAUUCAACUGCGGUGUCCUAGGUGGCGUUAAUUGCGGAAUUAUUCCGCAUUCCUUGAGAUAGUCGUGGAAUUCAAGACUUAGGUACUCUCCUCCUCGAUCGGAUCGAAGCAUCUUGAUUUUCCUGCCCAAUUGAUUCUCCACUUUAUGUUUGAACUCUUUGAACUUUUCAAAUGUUUCUGACUUGUGCUUGAUUAAGUAAAUAUACCCAUAUCUACUAUAAUCAUCGGUGAAAGUCACGUAGAAAUGACUUUUGGCACCCGUAGACUUGCAAGUCCCACUGUAGCGAGCAGCAAGGUGUAUGAUAGUCAAUCCAGUAUAGAUCUAUACACAAACUCAAACGUUCUCCAAUUAAGGAGAUUUUGAUACAAAAAUAGUCAUGGCAGGUAGUGUCAUGCCAUAUUUAAUGGCUCACAUAACUCUGUUAAUGUAUAUGUAAUGUAUAUGUGUGCUAGCUGUAUUGUGUGUUCUUUCUCUGUCUAGCCUGUAUGUUUGUUUCUCGUCAUAGUUCCUUUCGUUUGUUUCUCGUCAUAGUGUCUAUCGUUUGUUUCUCGUCAUAGUGUUAACAUGUUUGUAUACCCUUGCUACUCAAGGGCAUUGUAUCCUUUGACUCAUGUAUGAACUGACUCAUUGUAGGUUUCAUUGUUCUAGUAAUAGUAUUAGUAUCUUCCUAAACUACUCCUAUAGUAGUUUACUAGCAAUGUAUGAUCAUGUUUGUGUACCCUUGCUACCCAAAGGAAUAGAACUGAUUGAAGGAACUUUUAUGACUAAGUACGUAUACAUGAUAUACAACUAAUAUUUAAACAACCUUCGGACGUAUAACCGAUGCCCUAAAGCCACAUCCAAAAAAGGAAAAGGAAUUAAAGCGAGCUGGCCUUCCUAUGUCUUUUAAACAUUGCUUAUAUAACUAUACAUACAUAGACAUGCAUUUGACAAUGAAUAAGUAUGAAAGAGUUUAAGUAAAAGUAUUUGAUAAGUAAAAGAGUUCGUAAAAACAGUUUGAAGUAUAGUAGUUUGGUAAACAGUUUGAACAGUAAGAAAACCACUGGUUUUGUAGUUAUUUAUCACAUGUGAUUGAUGGAACAACUAUAAGUAUUUAACUUGUAUCCCCCCCCCACCCAUAAAAGCAUUUAAAAACAUUUAAACCAUUGAUUAAGGGGGUAUGAACUCACCUGUAGUGAGUGGUUUGGAUGAAAGGAUUGUAUAGGAUGCUAAGUGUCAAGGGAAGACUUGAACACACACGCGGAUCCUAUUUAACAUAUAUGACAUAUAUAUGAAUCCAAUUAGUGUUUAAAACAACUGAUUAUUGAAUUGGGACCACCUUAGGGACUAGUAACCACUUAUAUUGAAGUGUUAGAACCAUACAUGAUUGUAUGAAGGAGGUAUUUGGCUUUACAAAGGAGUAUAUGGCCAAAAUACACACUAUAUUUGUGUGUGCGGCCAGGUGUGUGGCCAUACUUGGCGUGUGCGGUUGGGUGUGUGUCACACCCCAAAACCACGAACGGCGGAAACGUUCAGGGGUGGAGGACGUCAUGUACAGUAUCACAACAGUGUAAUAUAAUAAACAAGCAACAACAUCAUCCAUUGCAUUAUAAGUAAAGUUUUAAUACAUGUGUGUUCUUUCAUUGUAGUAAGACACCAAAAAUAUACAAUCAAAAUAAAAGACGAGACUUGUCUGCUCCGUCUUCUCAAAACCUGGCCAUCGUACCUGUCUACUGUUGACCUGAGAAUACAAGUUAUUUUGAAAGAGAGUAUCAGCUUUAAAGCUGGUGAAUUCAUAAGUAUUUAAGUGUCAUCGUCUUGCUUAUGAAAAUCUAUUAUGAAGGCCAUGUAAACCUUUAAAUGAAAAUGAUGAUGUAAGUAUGAAAAACCCUAGAAAAUCCCUUAUUUUCUAUCAGUUUGAGAUGUAGUCUUCUACCAAGACCCGAAUGUUUUGUUUAUGGCAAUGUAGUCUUCUACCAAGACCCGAAUGUUUUGUUUAUGGCAAUGUAGUCUUCUACCAAGACCCGAAUGUUUUGUUUAUGACUAUGUAAAAUGAUAGUUUUUCCUUUCUAUUGACUAGUACUAAAAGUGCUUAGUCUAACUCAUCGUUUAUGUGAAUGUAUCACAAAAUAAAGUAAGGUAGGAAAAUAUAAUCGUGCAAGUGUUAUCCCUAAGUGACCAGAGUUAACACGACAUCGCCGAAGCGAAAGAUAGACCCUAUGGACAUCCGAAGAGUGUCCCCUCAUCCUCUGUAGCGGCAGCAGGGUGGAGGGAGGGUUAGUCCCAUAACAGCGUUAACCUAAUGAUCCUCCGAAGAUUCACAUCUCAUCCACUGUUGCAACAGUUGGACAGAGGGAUGGUUAGUCCCAUCACUGACUACUAAAUAAGUGACAACCUUAGACAUCCGUAGACGUUCAUCGACCACUGGUGCUAAUCAGUGGGAUUCGGAAUGGUAAGUCCCGCCGAAAUAUCCCAUUGAACCGGGAUAGGAAAGACAAUUUACACAGUAAGUACUAAUAAAUCAUCCUCUUAGUUCUAAGUACAAGUAUCCAAGGUAAGUAAAUACAGGAUAAUGCACCUAUGAAGAAGUGUUCCUGUAUGGUAUUCAUGUAAGUGUGUUCAUGUAACAGGUAAGUAUAUGUAAACAUAUUCAUGUAUCAUGUAAUCCUAAGUACGUGUACUCAUGUAUCAUGUAAGGUAUUGGUAUAGACUCAUGAAUGAACUGACUCUUGUGUGAUUCCUUGUAGUAGUAAUAAUGUUUGAUAUCUUCUAACUAUCCCUAUGAUAAUUAACUGGAAGGUAAGUGGUUGUUCAAGUAGAUUUAUGCACCCUCGAUACACCAGGGUGUGGGAAACUGAACGAAGGAUGAAAACUAUAAUCUCUAACAUAUAAAUGAACAUAUGCGCAUAAGUAUAGUUUGAUUCAAGAAGGUAAAAUAAUGGUUUUGCAAGAUAUCUAGGAGUUUUGAACAAUANCCCCCCCAUUAAAGCAUUUAAAAUCAUUUAAAACAUUGAUUAGGGGUAUGAACUCACCUGUAGUUGGUGAUUGGGAUGAACUGAACGGUAUAGGAUGGCUAGGUGUCAAGCGAGGACUUGUACACACACUACGAUCCUAAUGAACAUAUAAUCACACAUAUAUGCACUCAAUUAGUCUCAAAUCACUAAUUGAUAAUGUUAAGACAUCCUAGACAUAAUAAACACUUUAUAUAAGUGUUUUAAGCCCUAAGGAUUGCAUCUAAGCUAUUGUGGGACAAGGUACUUAUGUUUAGGGUUCCAAAGGACCCCAUAUAUGAGUUUACUCCUCAUAUACUAACACACAUGGAGUUUACGGUUGUAAACUCUUGAGUUUACAGCCGUAAACUCCCAACCAUGGGGUAUUUGUGUGUUUUGAAGUCCCAAAUGCUUUCUAGAAUUAUUCUAACUUGGUGGUUCCAUCCUUGAAGGGGUUUAAGGUCUAGAAACACUCCAUUUAGGAGUUUACGGACCCAAGGCCAUUCCCCUUGGAGUUUACGGCCGUAAACUCCCUUGGGGUGUUGUGUUUGUUGUUUUCAAGCCUCAUGCAUUUGAAGGAUAGGUUCUAGUCAAUUGUUUAAAGAUAAUGAGGACCCUAGGCACACUUUGGUGCCUUUGUUUGGUGUUUACGUCCUAGGAGCAUUACCUUGGCCGUAAACUCACUUUGAUAAGUGAUUUUGAUGUGCUUUGGUCCUUAGAUUAAGUGGGAAACAAUUCCAUGUAAAGGUCUAGGGCUUUAGGUGCCUUAAUAACACCCUUUGGUCCAUUUCUAUGGAGUUUACGGCCUAAGAUACACUUGGGCCGUAAACUUUCAUUUGUUUGUGUUCUUUGAUGUGCUUAAGGCCUUAGAUUAAAUGGGAACUAGUCUUGAUAAAAGCCUUAAAACCUUUAAUGGCCUUAAAACACCAUUUUGAGGUUGAAAAGGGAGUUUCUGGCCUAUGCAACUCUUGGGCCGUGAACUCCCAAACUUGGGUGAUUUAUGGAUGUUUUCUUGUCUGUAACACACAUACAUAUGAGUCUAAGGCAGUUGUAUAACACAAGGGUCGGUUUUGGCUUUGUUUCGGGAGUUUACUGCCCAAGAACACCUUGGGGUGUAAACUCCUAUAUCUAAUGAUUUAGCCAUCUAAAUCAUGUUAUAAGCACAUAAUAAGCAUUCUAACACUACUAGAAAGAGUUACUCAUGUUUUGGUAUAAAAACCCAAAGAUCCGUGAGAGAGAAAAUGGCUUUUCUCUAGUUGGAAACGUGAAUAAUGAAUAAAUUUGGUUCAGAAAUCUAUUUAUAGUUCUGAGAUAUUUUUGGCGGAAAAUAUUUUUAUUCCCGAAAUGAUCUCUAAUAUAAUAGAGAGUUGGAAUAAUAGUGUUGCACAAAACCCUAGUGCACCCACUUUCCUGAUAUUUCCUUAAGUGUAAACCCUGAAUUAUUCAAACUUAUGCGAAAAGUCUGAAAAUUAACUGUGACUGCUAUAACUUCUAUUGAAGUGAUAUAGUUUGUACAGAAUGGAAAUUUCGGGUUGUCACAUCAUCCCCCCGUUAGAAGGAAUUUCGUCCCGAAAUUAGAAUUUAAGCAAAUAAGAAGUUACAAAUAACUAAGCGAAAAGGUGAGGGUAUUUCAGUUUCAUCUGAUCCUCACGUUCCCAAGUGAAUUCCGGUCCACGCUUUGCGUUCCAGCGCACCUUCACUAUCGGGAUACGGCUCUGCUUUGUUUGCUUGACCUCUCGGUCCAUGAUCUCUACUGGUUCCUCCACGAAGUUGAGGCUCUCAUUGAUCUCGAUCUCGUCGAGUGGAAUAACAAGAGUCUCGUCGGAUAGACACUUUUUCAAGUUUGACACGUGGAAGGUAGGAUGUACGUUACUGAGUUCUUUCGGUAGAUUGAGCUUGUAAGCCACAGGGCCGAUUCUUGCGAGAAUCUCGAAAGGCCCUAUGUAUCUUGGAUUGAGCUUCCCACGCUUUCCAAAGCGUAUCAAGCCCUUCCAGGGUGAGACCUUCAGUAGGACUCGGUCGCCCACCUGGAACUCCAAUGGUUUCCUACGCUUGUCAGCGUAGCUUUUCUGUCGGUCUCUAGAGGCUUUCAAUCGUUCACGAAUUUGAACGAUCUUCUCUGUCGUUUCCCGAAUGAUCUCCGGACCCGUGAGAGUGCUUUCGGGAACUCGUCCCUUAGCUAACUGGGUAUCACCCACUUCAGCCCAGCACAGAGGGGAUCUGCACUUUCGGCCAUAGAGGGCCUCGAAUGGAGCUGCCUUUAUGCUCGUAUGAUAACUGUUGUUGUAGGAAAAUUCAACAAGGGGUAAAUGGGUAUCCCAAGCUUUUCCAAAGUCAAUCACACAGGCACGCAACAUAUCUUCUAAGGUUUGGAUAGUUCUCUCACUUUGCCCGUCGGUCUGUGGAUGGUAGGCUGUACUCAUGUCCAGCCUAGUUCCUAGGGAACUUUGUAAUGACUGCCAGAACCUCGAAGUGAAUCUACUAUCUCUGUCUGAGAUGAUAGAUAAAGGAACACCGUGCAGCCUUACAAUCUCCCUAAUGUAAGUUCUGGUAAGUUUCUCCAUCUUGUCUGUUUCUUUGAUCGGUAGGAAGUGUGCAGACUUGGUCAGUCUAUCGACGAUGACCCAUAUGGAAUCAAGUCCACCCGUCGUCUUGGGCAACUUGGUUAUGAAGUCCAUAGUGAUCCGCUCCCACUUCCAUUCUGGUAUCUCCGGUUGUUGUAGAAGACCGGAGGGUUUCUGGUAUUCGACCUUGACCUUUGCGCAAGUAAGGCAUUUACUCACGAAGGUAGCAAUAUCUGCUUUCAUGUUAGGCCACCAGUAUAACUUUUUAAGAUCCAGAUACAUCUUAUCUGAACCCGGGUGGACGGAAUAACGAGUGUUGUGAGCUUCGGUCAUGACCAAGUCUCUGAAGCCACCGUGUUUCGGUGUCCAGAUCCGAUCCAUGAGGUAUAAGGCUCCGCCACCCUUGACUUCCAAGUUCUUAUCCAUCCCUCUAAGGGAUUCACCCGCCACGUUUUCAGGUUUCAAAGCGUCGAGCUGAGCCUCCUUUAUUUGCGUGGACAAGUGUGAAUGGAUAGUUAGAGUCAAAGAUUUGACUCUACGACCAGUAUAUUCUUUCCGACUUAGGGCGUCGGCUACUACAUUGGCUUUACCCGGAUGAUAACGAAUUUCGCAUUCGUAAUCACUAAGUAGCUCGACCCACCGUCGUUGUCUCAUGUUGAGCUCUUUCUGGUCGAAAAUGUGUUGUAGACUCUUAUGGUCUGUAAAGAUCGUGCUUUUUGUACCGUAUAGGUAAUGUCGCCAGAUCUUCAGAGCAAACACAACUGCUCCUAGUUCAAGAUCGUGGGUUGUGUAGUUAACCUCAUGUGUCUUCAGCUGUCUCGAGGCAUAGGCUAUGACUUUACCUCGCUGCAUCAGAACACAUCCGAGUCCUUGAUUGGAUGCAUCGCAAUAGACAAUGAAGUCUUCUAUUCCUUCGGGAAGGGAUAGUAUCGGGGCGGUGCACAAGGCUCGUUUGAGCGUUUGGAACGCUCUUUCCUGUUUCUCUUCCCAGUCGAAGGCCACGCCUUUCUGGGUCAGGGUUGUAAGAGGUUUCGCUAUGCUGGAGAAGUUCUGAAUGAACCUGCGAUAGUAGCCAGCUAGACCUAGAAAUUGACGAAUUUCAGUAGGUGUCUUUGGUGCUGACCAGUUCUCGAUGGCCUUAAUUUUGGAAGGGUCCACGUGUAUACCUUCUUCGCUAACCACAUGGCCCAAAAAUUCGACUCGCCGAAUCCAAAAUUCGCACUUGGAGAACUUCGCGUAGAGCUUCUCCGAUCGCAAUGUUUCUAAGAUUUUACGGAGAUGUUGACUAUGCUCCUCCUUACUUCGAGAGUAGAUGAGUAUGUCAUCAAUGAAGACGAUGACGAACUGAUCCAAGUAAGGACGACACACCCUAUUCAUCAGAUCCAUGAAUACUGCGGGCGCGUUAGUUAAUCCGAAUGGCAUCACUACAAACUCGUAGUGCCCAUAACGAGUUCGGAAGGCUGUCUUGGGAACAUCCUCCUCUAACACUCGUAGUUGGUGAUAUCCGGAUCGCAGAUCUAUCUUCGAGAAGUAGUUGGCUCCUUGAAGUUGAUCAAAUAAAUCGUCAAUGCGGGGCAAGGGAUAACGAUUUUUAAUGGUAAGUUUGUUGAGUUCUCUAUAGUCGAUGCACAUGCGAAACGAUCCAUCUUUCUUCUUGACGAACAAGACCGGUGCUCCCCAUGGUGAGAAGCUUGGUCGAAUGAAUCCCUUCUUGAGAAGUUCGUUAAGUUGACUGGAAAGUUCCUGCAUUUCAGCCGGUGCAAGACGAUAAGGAGAUUUGGCUACGGGGGUAGCCCCUGGCACUAAGUCGAUUCUGAACUCGACUUGGCGUUGUGGUGGUAAACCGGGAAGUUCUUCUGGGAAUAUGUCGGGAAAGUCGCGUACUUCUGGGAUUUUCUGGAUGUCUUUCAGUUCUUGACUGGUAUCGACGACGUGUGCGAGAAAUGCAUGGUACUCCUUUCGCAAGCACUUCUGGGCUUGAAUGCACGAAAUGAUGCGAAGGCUCGUACUAGGUUUGUCGCCGUAGAUAAUUAAAGUUUCGUUGUUAGGAAGGUUAAGACGAACUGCUUUUUCGAAGCACAUAAUGUCGGCACGAAGAAGACUCAACCAAUCCAUACCGAUGAUAACGUCGAAACAUUUAAUGGUAACUGGCAUAAGAUCUAUCUUGAAAGUAUGGCUAUCUAAAGUUAAAGUACAACCUAUGUAUAUGCAGUUUGUACUCUCUGUUUUCCCGUUAGCCAUUUCUACUGUGAAUGAACUAUCUAAUGCACAUGGUUUUUGUUUAAGCAGGUGUGCAAAUUUGUGACUUACAAAACUUUUCUCGGCUCCACUAUCGAAAAGUAUGCAAGCAUAUGAGUUAUCGAGGAGGAACGUACCAGUAACUAUCGUUGGAUCAGCUACUGCUUCCUCGUGGCCUAGGGCCAUAACUCUUCCUACUCCUCCAGCCAUCCCUGCUUUAGGGCAGUUCCUCUUGUAAUGGCCCACUUCGCCACAUCCGUAGCAAGCUUGGCCCAUACCGGCGUUAGGAACUUGAGCAGCUUGAGCUGUUGGAGUUUUGCAGAAGCGGACGGUGUGUCCCUUCUUGUUGCAGUUAGAGCAAUGCAUCUCCCUGCAAGGUCCGUGGUGAUGGAAGUUGCACUUGGUGCACUUCGGGAGGGUUCCAGCAUAUGCCCUUGCUGGUAAGAGGUUGGCAGGGGCAACAGGAGUAACUGUGGCAGCAUUGAUUGCCACAUAUUGUUGUUUCUUGGAGGACCCUUGCGGAGCCCCUCCUUUCCUCUUAUUCCACCCCUUCUUGUGGUAGUCGGGGUUGGACUUUUGUGGUACAGGGGUAGGGAUUGUUAUGUUCUGAGGUUUCCGGUGAUCGAUAAGAGAUUGUGCCAGUUCCUUGGCACUAUCAAAGGUAAUAGGCCUGGAAGCGAUCACACUUGACUGGAUCUGGGGUGACAGUCCCCAGAUAUACCUCUCGAUCUUUUUGCUCUGGAGAGCAACCAUGUCGGGGCAUAAGUUUGCCAAAUCACAAAACCUAUUUGUGUAGGUAGUGAUGUCGGAUCCAACCAUUUGUAGACCCCAGAAUUCCUGCUCGAGUUUUUGUACUUCGCCUCGAGGACAGUAUUCUUUCAUGAGCAUCUCUUUCAAUUUCUCCCAGCUGAUGGAAUACGCCACCACCAGAGUUAGAUAGUUAACAUGGCUGUUCCACCAUGUUAGUGCUCGGUCAGAGAAGGUACAAGCUGCGAACUUGACCUUGCUGCCUUCUUGGCAUGCGCAGAUCUCGAAGACAGAUUCCAUCUUCUCGAUCCAUUGUCUCAACACCAUAACACCCCCAGUUCCAUUGAAGCUGCGGGGUUUGGCGUUAGUAAAGUCCUUGUAGGUGCAUUCCCGAGGGUGUCCAUGGCUUUCGCCGUGGUUUGAGGGUGGUGCACCUGUUCCUGAUCCACUAGGGGCAGGAGCGUUGAUUGCUGACACAGCAGCUGCAACUGCUGCUGUGAAAGCUGCCUGGAACAUAGUGGCAUCAAAAGGAUUUGGUGUUUGAAGAGGUACAGGUGGUGGUGGAGGUGGUGGUAUUGGUGCUUCGUUGUUUGGGUUCCUCCUUGGAUUCCUGCGUGGCGGCAUCUUUAACUAUACGUUUAAAAGAUGACGACAUGGAUAAGAAUAAAUGAUAAAUGAAUGUGUCUCAUGGACUAAAUCCCCAUAGUCCAACAACAGAAAGAAUAGCAUGACUAAAUGAAGAAGAUAGCAUUUGGAUAAUAAUUUCCAUAAGAUUAGAUAUCUGUCAAUAAUACUGGAAUUACAGAUGUAACAAGUUCGGGAAAAAUGGCCUAGAAGUAGGCCUUACAUCAACCAAGAUGGAAAAUUUUGACAGACUUAAGAUUAGACAAAGACCUAACAGGUCUAAGAUUUAUACAGACAGGAAAUUAGACCAAAGUUUUACAUAAACUAGGUUAUAUCCAAAAGAUGAGAUGACGAUAUUCUAUCGGCGACGAGAACUACUAGCAUGAGUCCUUGAUCCCGACAGUAGACGUUCGAUGUCCCUUAUACGCCUGUCCGACCUUGCUUGUUGAGCUCGAAGUUCUCUAACUUCAGCUCGGGUUUCAGCAAGUUCCCUUUGCAGAUUUGCAUUACGGACCAGAGUCCUUUCAUGAGCAGACUCUAGUUGGCGAAUGUGGACAGUGUUAACACCAGAGUUGGCGUCAACUUCCAAGACUUGAUUGAUAGUCGCCUGAGCCAUUAUCGUGUUCCGAGAAAUCCUACGCACCAUGAUUGGUAGGACUCUAUCAGCAGAACCUCCUUCAGUGAGGUUGUAGAAACUUCGGUCUCCAUUGUAGGGAAUGGGCUGACCCUGUUCAUGACUCCAUGUAAUCAAGUUAGUGGCCCACAGAGGUGUGGGUCCUUGAAACACAGGGCGAGGGUUCAGGUUUGGGUUUUGAGCAGCUGGGGGUAGGUUGUUGACUUCUGGCUCCGAGUCAGAACUAUCGGAAAAGCCCUCAGCAUGGUGAUCAUCCAAAGGGAUUGGGUGAUCAUCUUCUGGCUCUGCCUCUAGCCAACCAGCAUUGCCUUGGUUCGGGAAGUACGGAUCGCCAUGGUGAAAUCCAGCCAUUUUAAUCUACGCGAGAAAAGGGAUAUAAGAAAUAGCUAAAAUAGACGAACUAACUAAGAUAAUUACAGUAAGACCAAAUACCCAUAUGGUAUUUCUUUAUGGUUGUGUUGGUAAGUUUUUAGACUUGUUGCCAUAUCACAACCAUUCUUGGGCAUAUGCUAAUCACUCCUUGGACCAGCAUAGUUGAUCAGGCUAUGCCAUUCCCAAGACUGACUAUAUAUCCCCAGGCUUACUUGUGAUAUUCAACAAUCGUAAUACUUUUGUUCUUGUCGUUGUGACACUGAUUUUAGUAUGAAUGCAGGCACGUAUACUUACUUAAAUAUUUUAUUAUUUAAAAGUAUAACUCUGAGACAGAGUGUUUUAAUCCCAUGUAUUUAUAGUUAGUAUAUCUUUUAUGGGUUGAUAUACUAUAUUCACUAUAAACAAUGCUCUGAUACCAAUCUGUCACACCCCAAAACCACGAACGGCGGAAACGUUCAGGGGUGGAGGACGUCAUGUACAGUAUCACAACAGUGUAAUAUAAUAAACAAGCAACAACAUCAUCCAUUGCAUUAUAAGUAAAGUUUUAAUACAUGUGUGUUCUUUCAUUGUAGUAAGACACCAAAAAUAUACAAUCAAAAUAAAAGACGAGACUUGUCUGCUCCGUCUUCUCAAAACCUGGCCUCCGUACCUGUCUACUGAUGACCUGAGAAUACAAGUUAUUUUGAAAGCGAGUAUCAGCUUUAAAGCUGGUGAAUUCAUAAGUAUAUAAGUGUCAUUGCCUUGUUUGUGAAAAUCUGUUAUGAAGGCCAUGUAAACCGUUAAAUGAAAAUGUUGAUGUAAGUAUGAAAUCCCUAGAAAAACCCUUAUUUUCUAUAAGUAUGAAAUGUAGUCUUCUACCAAGACCCGAAUGUUCUGUACGUAUGAAGUGUAGUCUUCUACCAAGACCCGAAUGUUUUGUAAGUAUGAAGUGUAGUCUUCUACCAAGACCCGAAUGUUUUGUAAGUAUGAAGUGUAGUCUUCUACCAAGACCCGAAUGUUUUGUAAGUAUGAAGUGUAGUCUUCUACCAAGACCCGAAUGUUUUGUAAGUAUGAAGUGUAGUCUUCUACCAAGACCCGAAUGUUUUGUAAGUAUGAAGUGUAGUCUUCUACCAAGACCCGAAUGUUUUGUAAGUAUGAAGUGUAGUCUUCUACCAAGACCCGAAUGUUUUGUAAGUAUGAAGUGUAGUCUUCUACCAAGACCCGAAUGUUUUGUUAGUAAGAAGUGUAGUCUUCUACCAAGACCCGAAUGUUUUGUAAGUAUGAAGUGUAGUCUUCUACCAAGACCCGAAUGUUUUGUAAGUAUGAAGUGUAGUCUUCUACCAAGACCCGAAUGUUUUGUUAGUAAGAAGUGUAGUCUUCUACCAAGACCCGAAUGUUUUGUAAGUAUGAAGUGUAGUCUUCUACCAAGACUCGAAUGUUUUGUAAGUAUGAAGUGUAGUCUUCUACCAAGACCCGAAUGUUUUGUUAGUAUGAAGUGUAGUCUUCUACCAAGACUCGAAUGUUUUGUAAGUAUGAAGUGUAGUCUUCUACCAAGACUCGAAUGUUUUGUAAGUAAUAUGAUAGGUUUUCCUUUCUAUUGACUAGUACUAGAGUACUUAGUCUAACUCCUCGUUUAUGUGAAAGUAUCACAAAAUAAAGUAAACAGGAAAAAUAUAAUCAUGUAAGUGUUAUUAUCUUGGGUUACCAGGACAAACACGACAUCGCCGAAGCGAAAGAUAGACCCUAUGGACAUCCGAAGAGUGUCCCCUCAUCCUCUGUAGCGGCAGCAGGGUGGAGGGAGGGUUAGUCCCAACAUCGAUCUCCUAAUAUCGAUCGUUAACCUAAUGAUCCUCCGAAGAUUCACAUCUCAUCCACUGUUGCAACAGUUGGACAGAGGGAUGGUUAGUCCCGUCACUGACUACUAAGUAAGUAACAACCUUAAACAUCCGUAGACAUUCAUCGACCACUGGUGCUAAUCAGUGGGGUUCGGAAUGGUAAGUCCCGCCGAAUUAUCCCAUUGAACUGGGACAGGAAAGAUAAUUUACACAGUAAAUACUAAUAAAUCAUCCUCGUAGUUCUAAGUACAAGUAUCCAGGUAAGUAAAUACAGGAUAAUGCACCUAAGUAACAGUGUUCCUGUAUGGUAUUCAUGUAAUGUGUUCAUGUAAGCGUGAUCAUGUAUCAUGUAAGUAUAUGUAAACGUACUCAGGUAUCAUGUAAUCAACUGUAAAUGUACUCAUGUAUCAGGUAAUGUACUGGUAUAGACUCAUGAAUGAACUGACUCUUGUGUGAUUCCUUGUAAUAGGAAUAAUGUUUUGUUUCUUCUAACUAUCCCUAUGAUAAUUAACUGGAAAGUAAGUGGUUGUUCAAGUAGAUUUAUGCACCCUCGAUACACCAGGGUGUGGGAAACUGAACGAAGGAUGAAAACUAUAAUCUCUAACAUAUAAAUGAACAUAUGCGCAUAAGUAUAGUUUGAUUCAAGAAGGUAAAAUAAUGGUUUUGCAAGAUAUCUAGGAGUUUUGAACAAUAAUUAAGAGUGACUUGAUGUCAUUUUAAUAAACAUUUCAAAACUAAUACUUUUGUUAUCAAGGUAUUUUAAGAUAGAAAACCAUUUCAUGUGACACCUUUUGAAAUAUGUGAAAUCUACUGAGUGAAAACACAGUUAUAAAAUACAUAAGAUUGAUUUAAUAACAUAUUGUUUUCUACUUGUAUUCCCCCCCUUAAAGCAUUUAAAAUCAUUUAAAACAUUGAUUAAGGGGUAUGAACUCACCUGUAGUUGGUGAUUGGGAUGAACUGAACGGUAUAGGAUUGCUAGGUGUCAAGCGAGGACUUGUACACACACUACGAUCCUAAUGAACAUAUAAUCACACAUAUAUGCACUCAAUUAGUCUUAAGUUACUAAUUGAUAAAGCUAAGACAUCCUAGACAUAAUAAACACUUUAUAUAAGUGUUUUAAGCCCUAAGGAUUGCAUCUAAGCUAUUGUGGGACAAGGCACUUGUGUUUAGGGUUCCAAAGGACCCCAUAUAUGAGUUUACUCCUCAUAUACUAACACACAUGGAGUUUACGGUUGUAAACUCUUGAGUUUACGGCCGUAAACUCCCAACCAUGGGUGUUUUGUGUGUUUUGAAGUUCCAAAUGAUUCCUAGAAUUAUUCCAACUUGGUGGUUAAAUUCUUGGAAGGGUUUAAGGUCUAGAAACACUCCAUUUAGGAGUUUACGGCCCUAAGGCCAUUUCCUUUGGAGUUUACGGCCGUAAACUCCCUUGGAAUGGUGUUCUUGUUGAUUUCAAGCCUCAAGCAUAGGUGGUAUAAGUUCUAGGCUUUUAUUCCAAGCAUAUGAAGACAUUAGGCACACUUUGGUGCCCUUCUUUCAUGUUUACGGCCCAAGAACAAAGUCUUGGCCGUAAACUCACUUUGAUAAGUGAUUUUGAUGUGCUUUGGUCCUUAGAUUAAGUGGGAAACAAUUCCAUGUAAAGGUCUAGGGCUUUAGGUGCCUUAAUAACACCCUUUGGUCCAUUUCUAUGGAGUUUACGGCCUAAGAUACACUUGGGCCGUAAACUCUCAUUUGUUUGUGUUCUUUGAUGUGCUUAAGGCCUUAGAUUAAAUGGGAACUAGUCUUGAUAAAAGCCUUAAAGCUUUAGUGGCCUUAAAACACCAUUUUGAGGUUGAAAAGGGAGUUUACGGCCUAUGCAACUCUUAGGCCGUGAACUCCCAAACUUGGGUGAUUUAUGGAUGUUUUCUUGUCCCUAACACACAUACAUAUGAGUCUAAGGCAGUUGUAUAACACAACGGUUGGUUUUGGCUUUGUUUCGGGAGUUUACCGCCCAAGAACACCUUGGGGUGUAAACUCCUAGAUCUAAUGAUUUAGUCAUCUAAAUCAUGUUAUAAGCACAUAAUAAACAUUCUAACACUACUAGAAAGAGUUACUCACGUUUUGGUAUCAAAACUCGAAGAUCCGUGAGAGAGAAAAUGGCUUUUCUCUAGUUGGAAAUGUGAAUAAUGAAUAAAUUUGGUUCAGAAAUCUAUUUAUAGUCCUGAGAUAUUUUUGCCAGAAAAUAUUUUUAUUCCAGAAAUGAUCUCUAAUAUAAUAGAGUGUUUGAAUAAUAGUGUUGCACAAAACCCUAGUGCACCCACUCUCCUGAUAUUUCCUGAAGUGUAAACCCUGAAUUAUUCAAACUUACGCGAAAAGUCUGAAAAUUAACUGUGACUGCUAUAACUUCUAUUGAAAGUGAUAUAGUUUGUACAAAAUGGAAAUUUCGGGUUCUCAUAGUGUGCGGCCAUACAUGGCAUGUGCGGCCGUACACCUAGUGUUCUUGGUGUUCUUGGCUAAAGAUGUUACCUUCUAUGAAGAUCCCUAAGGAGAUUUGGAUGAUACUUGAGAGGAUUUCGGGUCCUAGCUUUGAUGAAGUGUAGAAUGUGUUCAAAAAUGCCUAAGUAUUGAAUAUAUAGGCGGAGUGUGUGCGGUUGGGAUGGGUGUGUGGCCGCACACUCUUGUGUGCGGCCGCACACACCUUGUGUUGGUGUGAUUGGCUCAAAUGCAAGGCGAUACACCCACAAUACUUAUCCCAAGACUCCUACCUUGCUUAUACUAAGCUUUAAACACUCUAUUUGACUCCAAACAGUGCUAGAAAAUAGAAAAAAGUGAGUUUAACUUUGAUAAGAAAUGAAGAAUGUAAGCUAGAAAUUUUCGGGUUGCCACAUCAUCCCCUGUUAGAGGGAAUUUCAUCCCGAAAUUAGAGUUUAAGCAACUUAGUUAUUACAAAUAACUAAGUAAAAAGAUGAGGAUAUUUCAGUUUCAUCUGAUGCUCUCGCUCCCAAGUGAAUUCAGGUCCUCGCUUGGCGUUCCAGCGAACAUUCACUAUCGGGAUACAACUUUGUUUUGUUUGCUUGACCUCUCGGUCCAUGAUUUCUACAGGUUCUUCCAUGAAGUUGAGGCUCUCGUUGAUCUCGAUCUCGUCAAGUGGGAUUACAAGAGUCUCGUUGGACAGACACUUUUUCAAGUUCGAGACGUGGAAAGUAGAAUGUAUGUUACUGAGUUCGUUCGGUAAGUUAAGUUUGUAAGCCACAAGGCCGAUUCUUGCGAGAAUCUCAAAAGGCCCAAUGUACCUUNNNNNNNNNNNNNNNNNNNNNNNNNNNNNNNNNNNNNNNNNNNNNNNNNNNNNNNNNNNNNNNNNNNNNNNNNNNNNNNNNNNNNNNNNNNNNNNNNNNNNNNNNNNNNNNNNNNNNNNNNNNNNNNNNNNNNNNNNNNNNNNNNNNNNNNNNNNNNNNNNNNNNNNNNNNNNNNNNNNNNNNNNNNNNNNNNNNNNNNNNNNNNNNNNNNNNNNNNNNNNNNNNNNNNNNNNNNNNNNNNNNNNNNNNNNNNNNNNNNNNNNNNNNNNNNNNNNNNNNNNNNNNNNNNNNNNNNNNNNNNNNNNNNNNNNNNNNNNNNNNNNNNNNNNNNNNNNNNNNNNNNNNNNNNNNNNNNNNNNNNNNNNNNNNNNNNNNNNNNNNNNNNNNNNNNNNNNNNNNNNNNNNNNNNNNNNNNNNNNNNNNNNNNNNNNNNNNNNNNNNNNNNNNNNNNNNNNNNNNNNNNNNNNNNNNNNNNNNNNNNNNNNNNNNNNNNNNNNNNNNNNNNNNNNNNNNNNNNNNNNNNNNNNNNNNNNNNNNNNNNNNNNNNNNNNNNNNNNNNNNNNNNNNNNNNNNNNNNNNNNNNNNNNNNNNNNNNNNNNNNNNNNNNNNNNNNNNNNNNNNNNNNNNNNNNNNNNNNNNNNNNNNNNNNNNNNNNNNNNNNNNNNNNNNNNNNNNNNNNNNNNNNNNNNNNNNNNNNNNNNNNNNNNNNNNNNNNNNNNNNNNNNNNNNNNNNNNNNNNNNNNNNNNNNNNNNNNNNNNNNNNNNNNNNNNNNNNNNNNNNNNNNNNNNNNNNNNNNNNNNNNNNNNNNNNNNNNNNNNNNNNNNNNNNNNNNNNNNNNNNNNNNNNNNNNNNNNNNNNNNNNNNNNNNNNNNNNNNNNNNNNNNNNNNNNNNNNNNNNNNNNNNNNNNNNNNNNNNNNNNNNNNNNNNNNNNNNNNNNNNNNNNNNNNNNNNNNNNNNNNNNNNNNNNNNNNNNNNNNNNNNNNNNNNNNNNNNNNNNNUCCGCAAACCGAUGGUCAGAGAGAACGAACGAUUCAAACAUUGGACGAUAUGCUGAGAGCAUGUACCGUAGAAUUGCAAGGUAAUUGGGAUGAACACUUACCUCUAGUAGAAUUCUCCUAUGAUAAUAGUUUCCACUCAAGCAUUAAGAUGACACCUUAUCACACUUUGUAUGGGGAAAAGUGUCGAACGCCGUCAUGUUGGCUGGAAGCUGGGGAAAAACAGUUUAUGGGACCUGAAACAAUCCAUGAGACUGCUGAAAAGUUGAAAGUGAUAAGGGAAAGGAUGUUAGCUACUCAAGAUCGAUAAAAGAGUUAACCUGACAAAAAAAGACAACCGAUAACGUUUGAAGUUAGAGAUUCGGAUUUACUUAAAGUCUCACCGUGGAAGUGACAUAUAAUAUUUGGGAAACGAGGAAAGUUGAGUCCAAGGUUUAUUGGACCAUUCAAAGUUCUUCAGAAGAUUGGUAACCAAGCUUACAAGCUAGAAUUACCGGAAGAACUGGAGGGUAUUCAUAACCCCUUUCAUGUGUGCUAUUUGAGAAAGUUUACGGGAGAUGUGCCCGACAUAAUUCCGAUUUCUGAAUUAAGGUUGGAUGAAAACAACAGGUUGAUUGAAGAACCUGAGGCAAUCGUUGACCGUGAUACUAAGAAGUUGCGACGCAAGAUGGUCGAUUUAGUGCUUGUGCAUUGGAAGCAUACGAGUGGACUAAAUCUCACUUGGGAAACGAAGAGUGACAUGAUGAGUCGCUACCCACAUUUGUUUGGUGAUAUAUGAUUCCGGGGACGAAAUCAUCCUAAGGGGGAGAGAAUUGUAACACUCGUGUUUCUAGCCUAGGCAUUUAUAUUGAGGUGAUAGUCUAGGUUAACCUUUGUAACUCAUUUUGAAGAAAUGAAAAGGAAUUAUGUGAAUAUUAUGUGAAUUAUGUGUUUUAUGCUUAAUUAUAAGGGUUUAAUUAAUUAAGAAUAAAAAUAGGCGUCAAAAUUAAAGUGUGAGAUAAGCCGAUAUCUUUACAUAAAGUUGUAGUGGUCAAAACAAGGAUUUCGGGGAUAUAAAGAAUACCAAAAUCCGAGUUAUAACGAUAGAGUUAUGACAUGUCGAAGUUUCGCGAUAAAAAGUGAGUUUUUGAUAAACUACUUUUUAGCCUAAGUGAUCUAAAAGAAAGUCGUAGUAUUCGUUAAACUGAGAAGUUCGAUAAAAAGAACGCCCAAAUCUGACUUCGUAUGAGGAAGUUAUGAUUUUUCGAAGGUUCAGCUUAGCAGUAGACAGCCAAAAACUUGAAUUUUAGAUCGAGUGAUUUUUAGCCGACACGACCUAAAAGAGAAUUUAAGGUCUCGUCAUUAGUAGCACAACGGUAAAAAGUCUGACGAAAACAGACGUCGGAUGAAGAAGUUAUGAAUUUUUAACGGAUUUCCUGUCCUGGUUUGUUAAAAAUAAUAAUAAAAAAAUUUAAUUUAAAAUUAGCCGACUAAUUAUAAACGGAAGUUGUAGAGCGUAAUUUUAGCUACGCGUGCAUAUAUAGAACGUCAAAAACAAAGCUCGUAUGCUAAAAUUCUAGAGUUCAGAAGUUUUGGCGCGAAAAUUGAGAAAAUUCGCAUAAUCACGAGUUGCCACGUCACCCUCGCUGAAAAAGUGCAACGUGUCCGAAAUUUGGAUGAGUCAUUCGAGCUGCUGAGUCAUCCGAAGGGUCUAGUGAGGAUCCGAAGUGUGUUGCCUUCCCUCGCGUGAACAGUAGUUGCGUGGCGGAUUCUGAUUCGACCGAAGGGUGGCCCAAUCCGAAGCUCGCAGCUAGACCGAGCCUCGCACCGCCAAGCCUCCGAACCUCGCAUGUGGGCCAGUAGACCGCUGUCUAAUCAACAACCGCCACCGAGACCCUCGCACAUGCUGCCAUCUGCACACCUUCGCCUGCGGACCCCACCAUCGGAGCCGACUUCGGAACCCUAUAAAUACAAGGGGUAUGCGAGCCUUCUCGGUUACUUUUGGAGUUUUGCCAUAAUUAGCCCCUUUCUUCAAAUUUUCUUCAUUUUAACAUUCCCUAAAGCCCAGCUAUCAAUUAUAAGCCCCAGAAUACCCCACGAAGCGCCCAAGAAGCCCAAAAAAUUUAUCUUUUCGGUUUCGAAGCCCGACCUUUGCAGAGCCUGGUUUCUCAAUGAAACUCCCGGUUUUAUUAGAAACGAUCGUUUUAGGAAAUGAAUUGCUGCCCGAUUAUCAUCAAAUCAUGUGAGUGUAUUGUCACCUUCAUCGUACAGCUAGAUAUGAAAUAUUUUAUAUGAAAUACAUGCUACGUGUAAUUAUAUUAAUUGUUUAACUGAGGUGACUGUUGAAUUGACAUUUUAUACAAGUUUUAAACUGUAUAUGUAUUUUUAUCUACAAAUAUGUUGGAUAAAACAUGGGUAGAUAGUGAUGUGUGAUAAAAUAAAAGUGAUGGGAGGCCUCGAUGUGUUUUGAGAUCCAGUCAUCUAGCAGAGUUUGGAUGAAGACCAUGGACUUUCUAGACAGUCCAGUGGGAAACAUUAGCCGGUCCGCAACCUCUAGGUGUUAAUGAACUUGGGUGUUCAUUCGCUGUAAUCCAUCCCCCUCAUGGUUGCCUUUAGGACAUGAAUGGCUGAGGAAACCCCUUAGCAGUAGUGUCCAUCCCGAUGAUAUUCUUUAGGCUACGUCCCUUGUGAAAAGUGUUUAGGGACGUAAAGUGAGGAUAAAGGGAACGGGUAAUCAGGGUUAUUGUUGAUUGGUGAACUUAAUAAGUUUAUUAUUACUGUGGGUUGAAAACCCUAUAUGCUCACCAGGCUCCCNUAUAAUGUCUUGUUUAUGCUUUUGAUCUGUAUCGGAACAUGACAUCCCGAGGUUUUGAUAUAUAUGGAAAAUAUAUACCUUCUUAAUGAAGGGUUUUGAUAAACUUUUAUCAUAUGUUGUUUGGGGACCAAUUCCGCAACAUCUUUUGAAAAGAUUCCUCUGAUUUUAUUUUAAAAAGCAUAAAUUAAAUCUGUCUUUUCUGGCCAAGAAAUUAGGGGAUGUCACAGUUGGUAUCAGAGCAUUAGUUUAAGCGAACUAAGAAAUUAUAGAAUUUCUAGACUUAAACUUAGAAUGCUAAGUGAUGAUUGUGAGAUGAGUGUCUACCAUAUUUUAGACAUGAGCACUAGUUUAUUUUAGGAAAGAUGCCUAAAAUGCCCUUAUGUGCUAAAUGCUAUGUGUUUGCCAUGUGUGCCAUUAUUUGUUCAGAUCUAUGGUCUGUUGCCAACCGGAUCUGGAAACCUUAUGUGUGUCGGAUUCUAAGCGUAUGAUUACGAGAUUAGAACUAACAUGUAAACGUUUCGGAGUGAUAAGGGAAUUAAAAUGUCUAACAAGGAUAAAAACCUAAAUUCACCUUAUUUGGUAUAUAGAUUGUAAUGGCAAGAACUCGUAGUGGAGCUGCAAAUGCAAACGGAAACAGGGAUCAACAGCCUCAACCUCAAGUAGUUGAGGAAGUACCUGUUGUAGGAGCUGCACUUGAGCCAAUGACGAUGGGUGGGGUACAAGCAAUGAUCCAGAUGAUGUUAUAUCGCCAGAUGGAGGAGACAAGGCGAUUACUACAACAACAUAGGGAAGAGACUACGAUACCCGUUGAACAACCCAUAUUGAAUGAAGGGCAAUCAGUAGGAGGGAACUACAGUGGGACUUUUGGUCAAGCCAACCCACCGAUAGUUAGACAAGAGAACCAGGAUGGAGGAGUUGAUGGACGCGGGUGCAAAUACAAAGAUUUCAUGGCAUCUAAAUUGCCGUGUCUAUCUGGAAGUCCGACACCGGUGGAAGUCAUGAAUUGGAUCUCUGAAAUGGAGACGAUGUUCAAAAGUUGUGAGUGCAGCAACAAACAAAAGACCACACUUGAAAUUCCUCUGUUAAAGUCUGGUGUGUUGAGCUGGUCGAAGUUACUAGCUGAUUCGAUGCCCAAGGGAGAAGCUAGUAAGAUGUCUUGGGAAGAUUUUGUGGUACAACUGAAAUUGCAGUACUGCUCUGAGCAGGAUCUUCUGGAAAUUAUAGAUGAGUUCCAAAAUUUAAAGAAGGGAAAGAUGAGCGUUACUGAAUACGCUGCUAGUUUUACGGAAAAGAUGAAGCUUGUUCCUCAUCUAGUUCCAACUAAACUCUCUAAGGUCAACAAGUUUGCCCUCGGAUUACCAGCGGACUUUAGUCCGAUGGUUAAGCAAGCAACCAAUUUGAAAGCUGCCAUCUGGGCGGCUAAGAAUGUUGAGGUUCAGAUCUAAGAGAAGGGUCUUGAGAGGCAGAAGUUGGUGAAAAGAGAAAGGUUGAAGGAACUUCAGGUUCCAACAAGAAAAGCAAAUUUUCUUAGUCCAAGAAGUUUGGAGGAGGAGGUGAAUUGAAAUGGUGUGAGAAGUGCAAGAAAAAUCACUCUAGGAAAUGUAGUGAGGAGGUGACUUGCUUCAAAUGUGGAAAGAGUGGGCAUUAUGCCAACGUGUGUCCGUCCAACAAGAGGGCAUGUUUUGAGUGCCAUGAAGUAGGGCAUGUUUUUAAAGACUGUACAAAAAGGAAGGAUGCAGCAAAGCCCAAUCUACCACCAAAGCCGAAGGCGAGAGCCUUUCAGAUGACACUUGAAGCUGCAAAAGAAGAAGUCGAUGUCGCUUCAGGUACCUUUCUCGUAAACGAAUUGCCUGCCCAAAUUUUGUUUGAUUCUGGAGCCAAUUACUCCUUCAUAUCGCAUGAAUUUGGUAGAAAACUAGAUGUGCCUAUAGAUAGACUAGUUAAUGCUAUAAUAGUCGAGAUUGCUAGUGGCAAGUUUGUACCUGUUAGCCAUCGUAUGAAAAACAUCCUCAUUGACUUGGAUGGGAAUAAGUUCCACGAGGAAUUAUUGCCUAUUGAAUUAAAUGGAUUCGACAUAGUUUUAGGAAUGGAUUGGCUUAGUACCAAUGAUGCCGAAAUAUUGUGUAGAAAUAAGAUAGUAAAAGUAAACUCGCCAGGGAAAGAGUCGUUUAUGGUGUAUGGAGACAAACGCAGAGUAAAUUCUGGAAUCAUUUCCUUAAUGAAAGCCAGAAAGUGUUUGGCCAAGGGAUGUACAUCAUACCCAGCAUUCGUGAUGGAUGCUAAGAAGGAGGAGAAGGAGGUGGAGAAUAUUUCGGUGGUGUAUGAUUAUCUGGAAGUCUUUCACGAAGAUCUUCCCGGAUUACCCCCUGAUCGACAAGUAGAAUUUCGUAUUGACUUGUUACCAGGAACAACGCCGAUAGAAAAAGCACCGUAUCAAUUAGCACCAACAGAGAUGAAAUAACUUAUGACACAAAUUCAGGAGUUAUUAGACAAAGGUUUCAUUCGACCUAGUUCAUCGCCCUGGGGAGCCCCUAUGUUAUUUGUAAAGAAGAAAGACGGGAGCAUGAGAAUGUGCAUCGAUUACAGAGAGCUGAACAAAGUGACGAUAAAGAACAAGUACCCAUUGCCGAGGAUCGAUGACCUGUUCGACCAGUUACAGGGUUCUAGCUAUUUCUCGAAGAUCGAUCUUAGGUCGGGAUACCAUCAACUAAAGGUGAGAGAGCAGGAUAUCGAAAAGAUUGCGUUUAGAACAAGAUAUGGACACUAUGAUUUUUUGGUUAUGUUGUUCGGACUAACUAAUGCCCCAGCAGCAUUCAUGGAUUUGAUGAAUAGGGUUUGUAAACCACUCCUAGAUAAAUCUGUGAUAGUAUUCAUAGAUGAUAUCUUGAUUUAUUCGAAAAGCAAGCAGGAGCAUGAAAAGCAUCUGCGUGAAGUGCUAGAAGUCCUGAAAAAGGAGAAGCUGUAUGCAAAGUUCUCCAAAUGUGAAUUUUGGAUUCAAGAAGUCCAAUUUUUAGGUCAUGUGGUUAACCAAGAAGGAAUAAUUGUUGACCCAACAAAGAUUGAAGAUGUGAUGAAGUGGGAACAACCAAAAAGCCCUACGGCGAUUUGAAGCUUUUUAGGAUUAGUUGGAUGUUACCGAAGGUUUAUCCAAGGAUUUUCUUCGAUUGCUACUCCAUUAAUAGCUUUGACCCACAAAGGAGCUACUUAUGCUUGGAAUGAGAAGCAUAAGGAAGCCUUUGAGAUGUUGAAGAAGAGAUUGUGUGAAGCACCGAUUCUUUCAUUACCUGAAGGAGUUAAUGACUUUGCAGUUUAUAGCGAUGCAUCUGGAGUUGGGUUAGGUUGUGUUCUGACCCAAAGGGAUAAAGUGAUCGCGUAUGCAUCGAGGCAAUUGAAGGAGCAUGAAAAGAACUACCCCACUCAUGAUCUGGAGUUGGCAGCGGUAGUAUUUGCCUUAAAGAUAUGGAGGCAUUAUCUUUAUGGCACCAAGUGUAAACUUUUCACUGAUCAUAAGAGUCUCCAAUAUCUCUUUAAUCAGAAGGAAUUGAACAUGAGGCAACGACGCUGGCUAGAGUUACUCAAGGACUACGACUGUGAGAUACUUUACCACCCUGGUAAAGCAAAUGUUGUUGCUGAUGCUCUCAGUCGGAAGGUAAACCUUGAAAAGAAAAGGCCAAGAGCGUUGAGAAUUGAAGUUGUCUCGACAAUUGUGGAAAGCAUAAAGAAAUCUCAAGAGGAAGCUUUAGAGAAAAAUGACCGAAAGGAAGAACGUUUUGCGCAAAACGUUAGUAUUCAAUACAAACAAGAAAGGGUUGAAGGUAUUCCAAGAUAGGAUUUGGGUACCCAAGACGGGCGGAGUAAGAGAUCUUCUGAUGGAAGAAGCUCACAAGACCAUGUACUCGAUUCAUCUCAGCAGUACAAAAAUGUAUAGGGAUCUAAAGCCCGAUUAUUGGUGGCCAACGAUGAAGCUUGAUGUUGCAAAGUAUGUGGCCGAGUGUGUAACUUGUGCUAGAGUUAAGGCACAACAUCAGAAACCGUAUGGGAGUUUAGAACCUUUACCCGUAUCCAUGGGUAAAUGGGAAGACAUCACCAUGGAUUUUGUGACUAAACUGCCUAGAACAAGGAAUGGUCACGACAUGAUUUGGGUGGUCGUUGAUCGCUUCACUAAGAGUGCGCAUUUCAUAGCAGCCAAAGAGAAAUGGUCUAUGGAUAAACUUGUGAAUUCUUAUGUGAAGGAAAUUGUGAGGCUUCACGGUGUUCCGUUAACGAUUGUAUCCGAUCGUGACACCCGUUUUACCUUAAGGUUUUGGAGGAGUCUACAAGAGGAAUUAGGUAUCAGGUUGUGUUUGAGUACAACUUACCAUCCGCAAACCGAUGGUCAGAGCGAACGAACGAUUCAAACAUUGGAGGAUAUGCUGAGAGCAUGUACUCUAGAAUUCCAAGGUAACUGGGAUGAACACUUACCUCUAGUAGAAUGUAAGUCCCUAAUUUGCCUGUGUAUCAAUCAGAUCUGUUUGAUGGUGCGGAAUCCCAAUCAAACGAAUGAUGUCAGAUUAAAUAAAAGAGAAGGAGAAGAAGAAUAUUAAGAAUCUUGAUUGUAUUGAUGAUAUGAAUGAAAUUCCUUACAAUAGAUUCUCUCACAGAAUAUGCUCUCUCUUGGUCGCACAAUCUCUAGGGUUUAUAAAUCUGUUCCUCAUACCCUAACACCUAUAUUUAUACUAGGGAACAUGGGCUUGGUGGACAUGGGUCGUAAAUGGGUUUACGACCGUAAGGUGCUUACGGCCGUAAACAUGACCGUAAACUCCAAAAAUAUUACAGAAAAAUACAUUUGCCCAGAAAAUCAAAGUAUAAACCAUAUUUUGACCCAACAAUCUCCCCCUUGGUUUAUAGCUUUCUUUUCUUAAUGACCCAACAAGCUCCCCCCUAAAAAGUAGUUGGUUCUUCUUGUUAAUCUUCAGUUGGAGAUUGGCUUCAGCUUUUAUCUUCAAUGAAUGACUUCAUCUUGAGCAAUUGAGCUUUUCUUCAGAAUUUGGCAAUGAACGCACAUUUGGUGAGGAUGCUUGAUGUGUUGAUUCUUAAAAGAUGACGCUUUCAGCUUGAGAAUCUUCAGAGAGAACAAAUCUUCUGGAUCACUUCAGCAGGUUCAUAGAUAGCAGCAGACUGAUUGAGGAGGCUUCAAUGCAAUCCGUCACAUAAUCUUCAAUUUCAGCUUCACCUUGCUUCUGGGGUUGAAAGAUUGAAUUUUAAAGAAUAAUCUUCAUUUCUUGCUCCUUCGAAUGAGAAUUCUUCGAUGCUCACGGACGAAGCUUUGGCUCAGAAAUCUUCAACACAAACUCCAUGAGUCUCAUCUACAUCUGAAUUCACUUUUCAAGACAAAACAAAACUAAAAGAAAACUUAGCACACAAAUUAAAACAAAAACAAAAAUAUUUUUGGAUUUUUCAUAUUUUCUGAAAAAGAAAUAAAAUAGAAAUAACAAUAUUUUAUUUUAUUUUUAAUUUUCUGAUUUUUUUAUUUCUCCCCUAAUAUUUAAAUUCGAAGAACACUAUGAACAAACUUAACAAAAACCAAAGUAAUAGCUAACUUUAAGAGUGAUUUGGGAUCAAAGUUGUUGGACAACUUUAUUCCACUUGUCGGUACCCUUAUCUUCACAUCUUCGUCUGAUCGAUCACCAGUAUUGUGGUCCACUUAAAGACGAAAAUUUUUGAUAGUUUUGGACAUUUUACCAAUGACAUGAUUCAAGGAUAUAUCAAAAUGUAAGUUUUUUAUUAUGAUAACUCCUAAAUAUUAAAUAAAUUUACCUUAAGACCAUUUAACUGAUUAUAACCAGGGAUAUUGUUGUCUACCUAAAUCGAGCAGCGAGAUCUACAGACAACCUGUAUGUGUUCAAUUGUUAAGUGUACCAGAACAUGUUUCCCAUUUCCUGAUAUGCCCCAGCCAUCAAGAACUUCUAGAGUACUCCUUACACCGGGUGAGCAGACAACCAUUCAGAGAAAAGAUAGAUUCAUAAUUCUAUAACUUAUUACUUUAGAGGGGUUGAGAAGUAGAAAGUUGCAUAUGCUGUGUACCAGGUCGGAUUUGAAGUCACGCAAAGGAGACAGCAUAUGGCUAACAGAUAGGAGAAAUUUCAUAGAUAUAACAUGUAGAGAGAUAGAGUUGCAUAUGUUGUAAUCCAGGUUGGAUCUCUUCCAAUCACGCAAAGGGUGCAACAUAUGACUAACAGUAGGAAAGAAAGAAAAUGAUAUUCUACAGACCUAAUUUAUCGAAAUUUACCAGUCGCCCCAUCCGACCAGAAUUAAGGACAAAAUCCGCACAUCCAGGAAACGUAAAUCCACAGUUCUAGAUACGGGUUAUUUAAUGUGACCGAUAGAUUCCCAUGUAUAUCNUAUCCAAGCGUCGUGACAUCAGGUUAAACGGAUCUAACUUGGUCAAAGUUUGUCAAGUCCUUAAAUUCAUUAGGUUCAACUUUUCCUAGUCAAGUCCAUUUUAAAUCUUUCGUGCCUACCAGCACAUCGAGUACAGAGCGUAGACGAUUCAACUUAUGUACGUUACGCUGAUUUAGAUUGCCCGUUAUCACUUGCUGAUUUCAUUUCCCAAAACAUCUCCUGCAAGCACAUUCCAUUAACACCAUUUUUUUAUUUUCUGAUUUUCUAAUGUUUUUGGAUUUUUGAAACUUUUCUAAUUUUUGUUUUGUUUUUCUCCCCCUAAAUUUGUGCAUAGGAGAGAAACGAAAAUAAAUGAACAAAUUUAAACUAUCCUAAAUCAGAAAUUAGUCUUUAAAGCGAAUCAGCUUAAGAAAACUUGAGGAGUAUAGAGAAGAAAAUGCAAACCGUAAUUCACCAAUUGAAUCUGCAUUNAGUCACCGAUUGAAUUUGCAUCCAGAAGUUCUGAGAACAGAACGCGUAAACUCAGAACAGAUCCGAAAAUUCUUCAUGUCAUUAAGCACAAACCCCGUGAGUGAUCUCUUCCUUUCUUCCUUUCCCGCAAAAGGACACAAACUCUCAAGCAAAGGUCAAAAUGUUGCAUAGUUGAGAGAAGUCCCCUAUUAUGUGCCUGGAGCAGCCAGUACCAACAAACCGAGGUCUGAUGAUAUGCCUCCAUAGCCACUCCGACACAGAGCGGAAUCAAUUGGUCUUUGGAACCCAUUCCAUUUUGAAACUAGGUCGACCUUUUUCAUCCUUGCACGGUACUCUCUCCCAUAACAUAUCCUGUUUAUCACAAACAGAAGAUGAAGAAAUAUUAGAGUCAUUAGUUGAUUUUGAAGAAUGAGCCUUUGGAACCCAUUUGUAGUUAGGUUUAGCCCAUUUCUUUUUCGAUUUGAUGGGUGCCUCGGCACUUGCUUUGGAACUUGAAGUCGGCUGCCGAGAUGACUUUGACCUAACCGGUCUUGGCUUCACAGGAGCAUCUCUUGAACUAGACUUCUGGGCCAGUAUUCCCUUCUUGUUCUUGGGAGUUGGAUGCUUGGCCUUGUGGGUUUGAUUCUUGGCCUUUUACACGUUCCAGUCACCAUUGUCUGAACGUGACCUAGAAGGGUUUCUUUUGAAGUAUCUCCUACUUGGCACGUUCUGCCAGCCUUGUGCAUAGUAGGGAACGUAUGCACGAUUAGGACAAUUUUUGGCAAUGUGUCCAGGUGCUCCACAGUGAAAACAACUCUUUUUGGUCACUGGGAAGUUGUUUCUUCCUGCCCCUGGUGGCGUAUCCUUGCCUUGUCUCUUAUUGAUCUCAGAUGCACGCUUGCAAUAGGCACUCUGUUUCGCUGGAAUUGGUGGGCUAUAUUUCUCAACAGCAGGUUGAUCAGAAGCAUUUGAGUUCGAAACAACAGAUUCAGAGUUCAAGGAGAUGUUGGUUUGUUCAGAAGAACUCUCCUUGUUCUCAUCCUCUCUUACUUUGCCUGUACAAGAAGUAGCAACAUUAGUAUCUUCAAUAUUAAUAACUCCUCCUGACACAAAUCCAGCUCGUUUGCCAUAUCGAAGAUGUGGCUCCCUGUCAGUUUCGUCCUGUGUCAUAGGGAUGGAUGUGUAGUUAUGAUUAUAAGGAGGAGGUACACUAUCAUACCCUAGACCCUUGUUUUGAUUUUCUUUGAAUUUUAAUUGGGUUUCAUAUAAGGACUCGACUGUCUGACUUGACGCAAUAUAACUUUUGAAACUGACAUCAGUUUUUCGACACUUUAUUUUUAAAGUGUCAAGUUCUUCAGUUACAGCAGCAGGUUGUCUCUUAACAUAAUCAUAAUUUUCACACUUGUUGCUAUACUCUUCCUGAAGUUUCCUAAAGUACUUGGUUUUUGCUUCUAAUUCAGCCUUCAGGGGUUUUUGUUGUUUCCUGAGUUGAUAUCCUUCGUAUCUCAGGUCCUCAACUUCUCUUUUUAAUAAAUCAAUUUGUUCCCGAAGAAAUUUAAUCGUAUCUUCACUAGAUAGUGUACAUGAAACUUCACAUGAUUGAGAACCUGAAACUUCAUUGACCGAGAUGUUUGCAGAACUCAUUGUAUUUCCACACUUCAAAGCAUUAAGUUCUUCAAUUACAUCAGCAAGACUAAGACGAUUGAGAUCUUUUGUCUUCUUGAUGAUAGCCACGUCCAUAUCCCACAAUUUUGGAAGUGAAUUCAAUAGCUUUUGUUUAUCUCAGAUUUAGACAAGAAGAUCCCAGCUAUAUUCAUCUCGGUAAUAAGUGUAGUAAAUCGCUGCAACUGAGUUUCGAGGGUUUCUCCAGGGAUAUAAUCGAAAAUAUUGAAAUUUUGUCUUAACAUAUCCUGACGACUCUCUUUCAUGUUUCAAGUCCCUCGUAAACCUUAAAAUCAAAUUAAAAGCACAACUAGAAGCUAAAAUAAAACUUAAAAGUCAAACCCUUUGAUUAUAAACCUCAAAAGUCAACCUUAAAAGUCAAAUUUAAAAAGUUAAACUCAAAAGUCAAACUUGAAAAGUCAAAUUUAAAAAGUUAAACUCAAAAGUCAAACUUAAAAGCCAAAUUAAAAAAGUUAAACUCAAAAGUCAAACUUAAAAGUCAAACCAAAAAAUUAAAUUUGAAAGUUUAAAAGUUAAACGAAAAAGUCAAAGUUUAAAGUUAAAGGUCAAACUUGGAAGUCAAAGUCAAAAUUUAAAAUCAAAAAUUUAAAAAAAAACUAUUUUUUUUAAUUAUUAUUAAUUAAUUAAUUAAUUUAUAUAUAUAUAUAUAUUUUUUUUUAUGAAAAAAGAAUUUAAAAGUAAAGGAAAUUUAAUUUUUUGGGUUAAAAGUGUGAAAAAGUGAAAGUUGGAAUAGACAGGGAUGGUUUAUGAAUUAAAUUCGGAAGUAGCAUAACAUCUAGUAACCUAGAGGAGUUGGAAGGAGCGUUGGUUUGUUAAGCAGGAGACCUCAGAUUGAAUCCCAGCACCUCCAAUUUCCGUUUCAAUUUUUUUAAGUGCGAAUGCGAGGAAGCUGCUAGCGAGGAUGUGCUGCGAGGCCGAGGUCUGAACUCGUGCGAGCCGUAAACCACCGAGGACCGCAAGCCGACGCCGUAAACUCCGAGCCGCAAGCUCGGGCCGCGAACAUCAGGCCGUAAACUUCGAGCCGUGAACCUCCGAAACCCUAGCCGCCGGCCGCAAACUCCGAACAAAAACACCGAUUUUUCGACUUUGAAGCUCAAAACCUCGAUGAAAAACCUUUUUUUUAUGAAAAACACAAAUAACAAACCCCCCUUAUUUUUGCGAGAUCUAUCCAAAAACGCAAAAAUAUUUCGAAAAUAAGAUCAAAUAAUGCCCUAAAUCUGACAAAAUUGACUGAUACAACUUGGCUCUGAUACCAAUUGUAUGUCCCUAAUUUGACUGUGUAUCAAUCAGAUCCGUUUGGUGGUGCGGAAUCUCAAUCAAACGGAUGAUGUCAGAUUAAAUAGAAGAGAAGGAGAAGAAGAAUAUUAAGAAUCUUGAUUGUAUUGAUGAUAUGAAUGAAAUUCCUUACAAUGGAUUCUCUCACACAAUAUGCUCUCUCUUGGCCGUACAAUCUCUAGGGUUUAUCAAUAUGUUCCUCACACCCUAACACCUAUAUUUAUACUAGGGAACAUGGGCUUGGUGGACAUGGGCCAUAAAUGGGUUUACGGUCGUAAGGGUUUUGCGGCCGUAAACUCAACCGUAAACUCCAAAAAUAUUACAGAAAAAUACAUUUGCCCAGAAAAGCAAAGUAUAAACCAUAUUUUGACCCAACAUACAAUUAUCCUAUAAUAAUAGUUUCCACUCAAGCAUUAAGAUGACACCUUAUCACGCUUUGUAUGGGGAAAAGUGUCGAACGCGGUCAUGUUGGCAUGAAGCUGGGGAAAAGCAGUUUAUGGGACCUGAAAUAGUCCAUGAGACUGUAGAAAAGUUGAAAGUGAUAAGGGAAAGGAUGUUAGUGAUGGGUUUUAGCCAUAAGAAGUUUCCUAUGUGCGCAUGCAAAACCCUAAUGCUCGGAUCUAGGCUUUCUAAUAAACAUGCUUUGAAUCCAAGACUUCUAAUUACUAAUUAGGUUAAAUAACAAUAUUGAAACAGAUCUAGAAUCAUACCUUUGAGUUCCUUGUUGAUCUUGAGGUCUUGGAGCUUCUAGAGUCACAAAUGUCACUCCUCUAAUGGCUUACAAACACUAAAGCAAGGAGGAUGAUUUGGGAGAGAGGAGAGGGGAGGAAUUCGACCAGAGGUUCCUUACUUUAGGUUAGGUGUCGAAUUCCCCAUGCCAUAGGGUCUAUUUAUACUUGCAGACUCCUUAAGGAUUACAGAUAAGUCCCUAUCAGAUAAUCUUCUCUUAAGGCUAUCCAAAUCCAUUCCUAGAUAACUCUAAUGGACGAUUUUAGCUAUCCUAAUCCUCUUAGAAUUCGUCCAUAGCAUAUCCAAAUGGAUUUACAGUCUAAAGCUUAACUAUCAAACAAUUGACAGUUUAUACCCCUUUAUUUCAUUAAUCUCUUUAAGUCACCAAAUUAAUUCUAAUUAAUUCUAUGACUUAUAUUAAUCAAAUAACAAUAUAUUAUUCAUUAUAUUAUUCCCAUAAUAUAUUAAUAAUAUUUACUCUCUCUUAAUAAAUCAUCCUAUCAAGUUGCUAUGGUGAAGGCAACCCAAAAGGACCAUGCACAACCGGAUCAAAUACUUGCCUAAUAUAGUUACAGCCUUAGACACUAUUCCAACAGUCUCCCACUUGGAUAAGUCUAGUAACUAUACAAGUACAAUUCGGUUUGCAAUCGUAGCUCUCAAAGACGCUGUCAACUCUGAUCUAAUCAAUCUUGUCCUUUAGAUAAGGGAACGUACAGUCCUCUGUUAGAUAUCAUGCUGACAAUCCUAUGGAAUGGUUAGUCAAGCAUUUAGGUUUCUCGAUCUCUGAUUUAUUUGACAUAGAACUUAAUCGAACACAUCAAUUCAGUUCUGACCGGGCCCGGCACAUAAGUCAAAUCAAAUCAUCGAGCGGCCGAGAUAUCGCUUUUACCUUCUUAGAUAAAAGUUACAGAUAAACUUCGACUUAUAUGCAUUUACUUAUUCAUUUACCAACUAUACACAACAAUACGUUUUAUAACACCAAGUUACUGAUGCGUUUUCGUAUUAUCAAUGUACAAUCAAUUAACAAAUAAUAAACCAUAUAUCUAGGUUUUAAGACUAUAUGAUAUUAUCGUCUUGCGAUCACCUUUUAUAUCGUAUUCCAUAAGGUGAUUCCAGCAAGCGCGGGUUUAUUCCAAUGCUCAAAACUAGUUCAUAAGCACUCAUGAACGUUGCAGCAAUCCUUUGCUAUGUCUAACACCAUUUAGACAUUCUACACACCAAUUCAUGACAAUCUUCAUUCAUAUCUACUCCCAACAUAUGAACGAUUGUGGACCAUUUGAACAAUUCGAUUAUUCCUAAUAA